rnacentral:rRNA from 1 species
CNACCUGCCGACAACACUGGGAUAGCCUUUCGAAAGAAAGAUUAAUACCGGAUGGCAUAGUUUUUCCGCAUGGGAUAAUUAUUAAAGAAUUUCGGUUGUCGAUGGGGAUGCGUUCCAUUAGGCAGUUGGCGGGGUAACGGCCCACCAAACCAACGAUGGAUAGGGGUUCUGAGAGGAAGGUCCCCCACAUUGGAACUGAGACACGGUCCAAACUCCUACGGGAGGCAGCAGUGAGGAAUAUUGGUCAAUGGACGAGAGUCUGAACCAGCCAAGUAGCGUGAAGGAUGACUGCCCUAUGGGUUGUAAACUUCUUUUAUACGGGAAUAAAGUUAGCCACGUGUGGCUUUUUGUAUGUACCGUAUGAAUAAGGAUCGGCUAACUCCGUGCCAGCAGCCGCGGUAAUACGGAGGAUCCGAGCGUUAUCCGGAUUUAUUGGGUUUAAAGGGAGCGUAGGCGGGUUGUUAAGUCAGUUGUGAAAGUUUGCGGCUCAACCGUAAAAUUGCAGUUGAUACUGGCGACCUUGAGUGCAACAGAGGUAGGCGGAAUUCGUGGUGUAGCGGUGAAAUGCUUAGAUAUCACGAAGAACUCCGAUUG